rnacentral:tRNA from 1 species
AAGGGUUUAGCUCAGUGGUGGAGCACGUGCUUAGCAUGCACAAGGUCCUGGGCUCAAUCCCCAGUACCUCCA